AAGAUGCAAUUUGGAUUAUUUAUCUGGAACAACUAUAUCAUGGAGGUGUUGUUUAAGGUUCCCUUGCUAAUUUUAUCUUAAGCUGCAGUUCUGCAUCUUUGGUUCAACGCUGCAUCGCUCAGUUCGUUUGCUUGGUUCCUUUGCUCGGUGCAGGAGGUUAGGAGACCAUCAACCGUAAGGAGGA